AAGACCUUGCACUUUUGGAGCGGCCGAUGUCUGAUUAGCUAGUUGGUGGGGUAAAGGCCUACCAAAGCUUCGAUCAGUAGCUGGUCUGAGAGGACGGCCAGCCACACUGGGACUGAGACACGGCCCAGACUCCUACGGGAGGCAGCAGUGGGGAAUUUUGGACAAUGGGCGCAAGCCUGAUCCAGCCAUGCCGCGUGAGUGAAGAAGGCCUUCGGGUUGUAAAGCUCUUUCAGCCGGGAAGAAAAGGCUGCGACUAAUAAUCGCAGUUCAUGACGGUACCGGAAGAAGAAGCACCGGCUAACUACGUGCCAGCAGCCGCGGUGAUACGUAGGGUGCGAGCGUUAAUCGGAAUUACUGGGCGUAAAGGGUGCGCAGGCGGUUUUGUAAGUCAGAUGUGAAAUCCCCGGGCUUAACCUGGGAACU
rnacentral:rRNA from 1 species